rnacentral:lncRNA from 1 species
ACACUUCUGUGCAAGCAGGCAGCAGCAUGAAAGGGGAAGCAAAUUGAUGCAUCAGAAAUCCCGCCUCCCGUGGCCUGCAGCACAAACGGCACCGCCGCAGGGACUAACCCAGCUACAGAGCAGGCCGAAUCGGAUAGUGCAGUAGAGACCACGCCUCUGUCACUGGAGACUAGCCCGCUGAGGGAAGAGGAGCCAGCAUCUUCCUCACCAGGUAGCAGUGAGCCCCUACGCAACGAAGAGUGUCCUGCUGGGACCAAGUCAGCUAAGUAUUGGAAUAGGGAUGUCCUUUUGGGGAUAACUGCUUGUUAUGAAGAGAAACUUUUUUUUAUUAUAGUUUCCACAAAAUCUGUGAGCAGAUUUAUUAAAAAAAAAUUAAAAAACAAAACCAAUUCUUUGAGCAAAUCGUUACAGCCUGAGCCUCUUUCUGACAGCUGUCUUUGUAACAGUUUUAAAGUUUAAAGAAUGAAUCGUGAUUAAUUGGAAUUUAUUCAUUAAUUAGUUUAUUAAAAUGUGUGAUAAAGCCCUGAUGUACAGCAAUAUAUUCAGAUUAUUGUAUUAUUUUUAACAUAAGAUGGAAAGAAAGUUUUCAGUUUGGCAACUGUAUUCACACACGGCUGUAAAUUAACAGUUCAUUAGGUCAGUGUGGUUAUAUUUGGAAUAUAUAUAUAUUUUCUUAUCAGACCAUGUACACCCAAACAUGAAUUAGGUUUUAGAUUUUAUUUAAUCACUUUAAAGACAUCUUUUGUUGUUUGUAAUGCAGAAUGCAGUUUGUAAUGCAUAUUGAGGAGACGCUUGUGAAGCUACAGAGAGACUACAAGGAAGCUGCUGUGAAGGCAAAACAAGCAGGAAACAUUGAUCUAGCAAAGACGUGUAUGAAGACUAUAAAACAUCUAUGGAAUCUGUGACACAAGAGGGACAACCUCAGCCCAAGAAUGUUCUGCAUGCUUUGGAGCAACGGUUGUCAAAGUACCAGGAAACCUAUUCUGAGGCAAAGGCCAGUGACGACAGCCGCAAGGCCCGCAUGUAUGAAAGGAUUACCAAGCAAUAUCAGAGCGCCACCCGAGCCCAUAAGGCAGGACGAGCUGUCAACUACCAGGAGCUGCCUGUCCCACCAGUGUCAACGUCUCGGAUGUCUCCCCUGUCUUGUGCUUCACCAAUUAAACCCCUGUUUCGGGAUGUCAGGUGAUUGCGUCCCUCAUUCCUCGUCGUCUCGUCAUCCUCCUCUCCGUACACCCGCCUCGUCAUGCCCGCAUGGACGUGACAUUUGGAAGGUUUUCCACCAAUACCUGGCCAAGAGGCAACUGCAAAUGAACAGGGGUUUGCUGCUGUUUGCUGCUUGCAAGAAGCUGGUGGGGCACAGAAGAAAGAGGCAGUAA